rnacentral:rRNA from 1 species
GCACGGGUGCGUAACGCGUAUGCAACCUACCUUUAACUGGGACAUGGCCCCGAGAAAUCGGGAUUAAUAUCCCAUAAUAUCCAGAAAACGCAUGUUUUCUGGAUUAAAGUUCCGGCGGUUAAAGAUGGGCAUGCGUGGCAUUAGUUAGUUGGUGAGGUAACGGCUCACCAAGGCAAUGAUGCCUAGGGGUCCUGAGAGGGUUUUCCCCCACACUGGUACUGAGACACGGACCAGACUCCUACGGGAGGCAGCAGUAAGGAAUAUUGGGCAAUAGGCGCAAGCCUGACCCAGCCAUGCCGCGUGCAGGAUGACGGCCCUAUGGGUUGUAACUGCUUUUGUAUGGGAAAAAACUCCCGCACGUGUGCGGGACUGAUUGUACCAUACGAAUAAGCAUCGGCUAACUCCGUGCCAGCAGCCGCGGUAAUACGGAGGAUGCAAGCGUUAUCCGGAUUCAUUGGGUUUAAAGGGUGCGCAGGCGGAUUAGUAAGUCAGUGGUGAAAGCUCCCGGCUCAACCGGGAAAAUGCCAUUGAUACUGUUAAUCUUGAGUACAGUUGAGGUAGGCGGAAUGUAUCAUGUAGCGGUGAAAUGCAUAGAUAUGAUACAGAACACCGAUAGCGAAGGCAGCUUACCAAACUGUAACUGACGCUCAUGCACGAAAGCGUGGGGAGCAAACAGGAUUAGAUACCCUGGUAGUCCACGCUGUAAACUAUGAUCACUCGCUGUUGGCGAUACACUGUCAGCGGCUUAGCGAAAGUGUUAAGUGAUCCACCUGGGGAGUACGAUCGCAAGGUUGAAACUCAAAGGAAUUGACGGGGGCCCGCACAAGCGGAGGAGCAUGUGGUUUAAUUCGAUGAUACGCGAGGAACCUUACCUGGGCUUAAAUGCAGAACGACCUCCCGAGAAAUCGGGACUUCCUUCGGGACGGACUGCAAGGUGCUGCAUGGUUGUCGUCAGCUCGUGCCGUGAGGUGUCGGGUUAAGUCCCAUAACGAGCGCAAACCUUAUCGAUGUAGUUGCCAAUCAGGUAAUGCUAGGGAACUCUAAGGAAAUUGCCUCCGCAAGUAGGGAGGAAGGUGGGGAUGACGUCAAAUCAGCAC